rnacentral:rRNA from 1 species
UCCGUAGGCGGGCGUCUAAGUCAGUGGUGAAAUCUUACAGCUCAACUGUAAAAUUGCCAUUGAUACUGGAUGUCUUGAAUUAGUGUGAAGUGGUUAGAAUGUGUAGUGUAGCGGUGAAAUGCAUAGAUAUUACACAGAAUACCAAUUGCGAAGGCAGAUCACUAACACUAUAUUGACGCUGAGGGACGAAAGCGUGGGGAGCGAACAGGAUUAGAUACCUGGUAGUCC